UAGGGCAAGGGGGCACUGCGGGUUGUUCCGGGGGAGGUGAGGGGGCAGUGGAGCUUUCUGUGGUUUGCAAUUUUAAAAGCAAGGCAAGCGUGUCUGGUAAAGCACCUGAAAAACAAGGUAGCAGAGAGUUCACCAGGAAAAGAAUUGUGGAAAGACAGACAAGUGUACCAGUAAUCUGGAUGAAAGCCCUGCGUACUUCGGUGGCAGGAAUAACUGCUGGAGAAGGUUGUCUCUGCAAAAUUUCCCUCGGUGAUGAUAAUAUGUGCCAUAAUGGAUUACGCACAGUCCAAAACAUUUUGUCAGACAGACUUAAAAAGGAGCUGAAGUUUCUGCUGCUGAGGCCACAGGAUAAAGAGCUUUGGCAUGAUCGACUCCUGGCUGUUUCUAAUGUAAGAAUGUAUAACAAGUUUCAGUUUUAUUUUGCAUGCAUUUUUCCCUUUCCUUGGCAAUGGGCUUUUCUAAAUACUUGUGAAAGAAAUAUUUGUUUUAGAAAGCUGCAGCACAGAGAAGCUUGAAAAUGUUGCCACAGUUCAUAAACUAUGUCAGCCCAGGCAGAAAUACAAUUUAAGAAACUUGAUCUCUAAACCUUUGCCUUAGCCAUUACAGUCUGAGCUUUCCUAAUGUUGUAUUAGAUUGCUUAUUUACAGUCUAAUUUUUUUUGUCAGAAAAAUAAGAACGGUCCUUCGCUAGCAAUACAAGGGCAGUUAUUGCCACACAUUUAUAGGUACAGUAGAAGAAAAAAAUUGAUUUGUUUCACAUUCCUGUUAAAAUGUUAGUUUGUAACAUCUACCCAAUAAAAUAUCAGUGCAGCUACCUACUCAUAUCAAUCAUUAGAAAACAUUGUAAUUCUGAAAGGCUGGCUUAUUUUGAUGUUCCCCUUCAUGAUAAAUAUUCUUGUAUAUUAAUAAAAAACAACCCAACAUAAUAAACAAAAAACAACCCCCUACAUUUUUCCAUGUACCUUUUAUUCACUAAAAUGAUUUAAUUUUUCAAUACCAUGACUUGGCACUACAGUUUUGCCAGCCUGUUUAGAAUUUAUUUUUAAGGUCAUUAUAAAACAAACUGCAUUUCUGCCUCUUACAGCUUUUUUGUGGUGUUUUGUUUUG